AAGGUUGCUGAGGGAUCUCUGGGCCUGUUGAUUGGUUGACUGUUCACAUUGUAAUUGGACUCUUAGGCCAGCAUCACAGGGAAAGAUAUAGUUUCUGUUGCAGCCCCAGGGGCCCGGGCAGCCAAUAACUCCUUUCCUGUAGUGCUUUAGUUUUCAUCUUCCUCUUCCUUAUCUGCAGUGGUAGCUGGAACCUCAACUUUACAACAGUAAAGUUGUAUCAGGCACUGUAUCAGAUCACUUUAAAUCCCCUUUACCUGUACAUGGGGGCCUAGAGCGAGCGGAUGUGUGCAAGGAAGGAAUGUGGAAAAGGAAAUGCAUUUCUUCUGCGGUUGUGUGUGUCCUCGGCACGACACAGAUGUUCCCACUGCUUUAUGUCAUUUACUUUUUCGCCGUUACAUAUAAGAGAAAAGUUGAUGUGAGCCCAUCCAGUCUCAUCCAAUUAUCACAAAUUCCAAAUAAGCUGGGUCUGAAUUAAUAAGAUUUCAUUGCAGUACAGAAUAGGUGUAUUUAAACAAAGUGGAGCAAUCAGAAUCAGAUGCAAUUAAGAUUAAUCAUCCUGUGAUUGAUCACAGCUUGGACAGUGGCCUGGCUUCAGCUCACCACUGCAGAUCUUGUUGACUCAGUGUGAAUGAUGAGAUCUCUGUCCUGACAGGCAUGACACUGCCACAUGAAGCUCUCCUUAACCUGGCUCCAAGCAUCUCAGGCUUAAGCUAGGAUGCAGCAGGGGUUUUUGCUGCUGCUUCUAAUAAGAACUAGUCAACUUGCCCAGUCAAUAAUGAAGAAAUUCAUAUUCUCCUAUUUGAUGGGAAGUUUGAACAAUGACAACUCCAUGUCUCGCUUCACAGUUACACAAGGAUAAAUGAUUAAACAUAAGCCCUAAAUUAAAACAGGCCAAACCAAAUAUUUAAGAAAUCUCUUCCAUCGAUCUUUUAUUAUUUAAAGAAAAGAUGGAGUGAAAACAUGUUUUUGGAUGAACAAUUCACAUACGCUCAACCUGCUGCUCCUUGCGGCCAUACCUUGAGAUGGAAGACACAUUUUUGAGGGUGAUGUUACAGGUCACAUGUGGGGCAUAUUGAUCUUGAUGAGAAAGCUCACUCAGAGAAGUAGUCAAGAAAGCAAUAUAUUGAAAAUAAAGCCAUGUAUGUAGCAACGAAGGUAUUCAAGGUGCCCACUUUGAUGACUUGUACUCGUGCCUUUGAUCCCCACUGUAGAAAAUGCUCUGCUCCAUUUCAAAAGAGAUUGCCUUGUGCCCCAUUUGUUGGCCUUUGGAUCAAACCAGCAACAGACCUCACAGAUAGAAUUCCACCAUUAGCCAUUCACAAAGAGGGUGCAGUCUUGACUUAAAAGGUUCUCAGCACAUUCUCACUGAUGGAGAUGAGCUCUGCCUGAAUCAGCUCCUACUUGGGACAAGCACAAAAGGGUCAAGAGAAAAGUCUCAUCUUUCUGAAUCAUGAGUCUCCCUCUGAAAAUACCUGCUCAUCAAGAAGUUUACUAGAAUUUAUUUUCAAGCCCAACCUGGGAGCAGAACAAAUAAAGCAAAUUCUUAAGCUGGAAGAUACAUGAUUGAUUUAAAACAUUUUAAUGCUUACACAUUAGUUUUAAUGUGUUGAUUUGAAGCACUUAACGACAUGCAUAAAGAAGUUCUUUAGCUGCAUCUGUUUAUUUUUGAGGUCUUCAAUAAUCUUGUCUGCUGACCCCACCAGAUAAAUUGUGCAGUGUACUAUUCAUGAUUGUGGGGACAUCUUCAACAGAGGCACUAGGAAUGCAACAGUGAAGAAGUGAAGGCAGCACUUUUGGUUCCACGGAGCAUACAUGUUGGCAAGGAGGUGUCAUAAAGAAGAGCAAAUCAUGGUUCCUCUGAAGAACUGGGUUUCAUGUGUUUUCCAAUUAUCCAUCUGAAAGAAGGAAGAAGACUUUUAUUUACUAUCUUCCAUCCUCCUGGGUUCAAGUGUUGACCCACGAGAUAGUAAUUCCUUAGAGCUUCCAGGAUGCACAUGUUUGAGUGCCCGGAAGGUUCCUGUAAUCAUUCCACUGUGUGGGUGUCAGAGAGGCCCCAGGGCAGAAAGAGAGAGAUCCCAUUGCAGCUGAAGCAAGAGGCUGUCAGAUUACACUGCUGGCAGCUAGCAGCUGGUUGCCGUAGCAGAGUCUUGGCAAAAGAUGGGCCAAGAGAAUAUAAGGUCCAGCCCAAGGGGAAUCUUCUACAAGCUUGUUCCCUAACAAUGGGUUAGUAAUAGUGGAGCAUUAGUAGCUGUCCUCUAAUAGAACUCAAAAGAAUAUAAAAAGUGGUUAUAAAAAGAAAGUGGUUAUAAACUCAAAUAAUUGUUAGUUUUUUGGGGGUUACGAAAUGGAGGCAGAUGCCUUCUUUUCCGUUUUCUAUCUCACGGGGAGCUUUUAAAGCUUGGCACUGUUCCCAUUUGGGGUGAGAUACGAAUUCUUUGUUGGGAGAGAGGCUAGUCUGUGCACUAAAGGAGUAUCUCUAGCUUCUAUCCACACAAUUCCAGUGCCAAUCCCCAUCCACUGUCCCCCACUUCUCCCCAAGUUGCGACAACAGAAAAUAUCUUCAGACAUAGCCGAAUAUCUCCAGGGGAUGGGCUGUUGCCCCCAGUUGAGAAUCACUGAUCUAAUAGAGUUGAGAUCUGUUUCCUGUUUUCCCUUUCUCUCUACCCCCACGACCCCUGAUCACUGACCUCCAUGAAUGUCUAUGGCCCAUGAACACAAACGGUGGCACAUACCUAUGACCUACACCCCCCAUCCUAGUGACCUGCACCGACCAAGAUUUUUUCUCUGCAGCUCUGUUUACUAGAAGUGCUAUUAAAAGCAACUUGAUAGGGCCAACGCAACUGGAUGUAAUUAAGAGCAGUUAAAUAAAAGAAUCUUCUGAAAAAAGUAUAAAGGGAGUACUCAGAUAGUUUGCUACAAUGAGGUAUGUUUAAAAAUAUUUUUUAUAUGUUUUUCUUCAUGUUAAAAUGCUACUCAUUUAAAAAAAAAAAAAAAAAAGAAAGAAAGAAAACGGUUUAAAGAGUACUUUAGAAUGUUUCCUUUGGUAAGCGUACACCAGGCCAGCAAAUUAAUGAAGAUAAUAUAAGUCUGUCCAGGAACAAUUUUUUUUCUUUCAAAUGUUACAUCUUUUUUUAAAAAAUAAACUUCUAAUUUUAGAAUAAUUUUAGAUUUACAGAAAAAUUAUGAAUAUAAGACAGAUGGUUCCUGUAUACCACACACCCAGUCAUUCCAAUUAUUAACAUCUUCCAUUAGCAUUGCAUAUUUGUCACAAUUAAUGAAACAAUGCUGAUACUUUUUUUUAUUAACUAAGAUGUAUACUUUCUUCAUAUGUCUUUACUUUCUCCUUAAAUGUCCUUUUUCUGUUCCAAGAUCCCAUUGGGACACCACAUUAUAUUUAGUUAUCAGUCCCCUUGGGCAACUUUUGAUGGUGACAAUUGAUAGCAUCCUUUCUAGUCCUGGACUCAAAUCAACAAAAAAAUGGGUAACCCUUCAGGACAGGGCACCACGUUGACUUAUGGAUGAAAAACUUUUCAUUCUGGUUGCAUGCCAAUGAUAAUAGCAAUAAUACCUCAUCAUUUCAUUUUACCACGUAUCAUGGGCAAGUGCUCUCCAUGCAUUAUUUCAUUUAAUCCUCAUGACAACCCUAGGGGGUAGGGACUAGUUACCCCAUUUUACAGAGGAAAACAUUGAGACACAAUACAUUUAAGUAACUUUUUCAUGGUCUCAUAGCUAGUAAGUAGGACUUACUAGUAAGCAACACCUGGAACCUAUCAAGUCUCUUGUGAGGUCUGAUGUUAGUGCUUUUUUUAUUUUUAUUGAUUUUAUUUUAUUUUAUUUUAUUAUUUUAUAUUUUAUUUUAUUUUAUUUUAUUUUAUUAUUUUAUUUGUGUGUGUGUGUGA